GACGAACGCUGGCGGCGUGCUUAACACAUGCAAGUCGAACGGGAUUUAGUAAACGGAAGCCUCGGUGGAAGAUUACUAAUGAGAGUGGCGAACGGGUGAGUAACGCGUGAGCAACCUGCCUAUGACAGGGGGAUAGCCUCGGGAAGCCGGGAUUAAUACCGCAUAAAAUCGUAGAAACACAUGUUUCAACGGUCAAAGAUUUAUCGGUCAUAGAUGGGCUCGCGUCUGAUUAGCUAGUUGGUGAGAUAACAGCCCACCAAGGCGACGAUCAGUAGCCGGUCUGAGAGGAUGAACGGCCACAUUGGAACUGAGACACGGUCCAAACUCCUACGGGAGGCAGCAGUGGGGAAUAUUGCACAAUGGGGGAAACCCUGAUGCAGCGACGCCGCGUGAACGAAGAAGGUAUUCGUAUCGUAAAGUUCUGUCCUAUGGGAAGAUAAUGACAGUACCAGAGAAGAAAGCUCCGGCUAAAUACGUG
rnacentral:rRNA from 1 species